rnacentral:lncRNA from 1 species
GAUUCGGCUUUGUGGGAUUCUGGAGCACUCGAUUCAAGAGAAAUAAGCAAAAAUAGAGAGAAUCAGCUAAGGAAAGAAAGGAGAGAAAGGUGGAAGGCUUGGGUAGUAGGGGAUUCAAGAGUAAUUGAAGAAAUAUCAAGUGGGUCUCAAGAUUCAAGAAACAUAAGGUAGGGGUUUUUGUGUUUUAAGCUCAUGGUUGGUUAAAUCUAAGCAAAAAUGGUGUGAAUCAUUUUGUGGCAGCUAUAGUGACCAUUGGUAUGAGGAAAUUAUGAAUUUUGUUCGGCGAAAUCCAAGCUAAAAUCAAGUGGUAAGCUUAAUGCUACAAUUUGAAGCUUAUGAUUGGUUUAGUAUUGUGAGAAUGAUUGUAUGCAUAUGUAGUGUUAUUGUGAUGUCAUGGGUAUGGUUGGAAGGCAAUUAUAUUAAUUGGAAGUUUGGUGUGUAGAUAUGUGUUGUUAGGAAAGGUUUAAAAGGUUAUGGAUGUUGGUGUGCAUGAAUGAAUAUUAAUGUUAUGCUUGGUGGCAACAUGUAAAUGAGGAUGGUGGUACAUGUAGACUUAGAA